rnacentral:tRNA from 4 species
GACUCCGUAGCUCAACUGGAUAGAGCAAUUCACUUCUAAUGAAUAGGUUGAGGGUUCGAGUCCUUCCGGGGUCGCCA